CACACAGAGAAAAAAUACUUGCCCUACUGAAGUACUAUUUUUUUAAAUGAGGAUUUUAUUUUUUUUUUUAAUUUUCAGUGCUGCAGCAUGGUAGAAAAGGCUCCUUUGUCUCCAGAAAUAGUACAAUGGUGCUUUGAACGGCAGGUGAUUUGAUCAGAUGAUCACUAGCAAAGUGUCUGUAGGUUUAUAAUCUGUCAGCCUUCCCUGGGAAACUGUCUAUGGAUCCUGAAGCUGCACCCAGUCAAGCCGUAAUUCUCUAUUUUAUGCUACUCCAGAAUGAACAUGUCCCAGACAGUCCACCAGAAAUCUGUUUCAUCCCCAGUCCAGCUAAUUCUUGAUUAUAUGGAAAAAAACUGCAAACCUGUUUUCUACUAAGAAGCAUAUAAUAUGCUGUCUCAACAUUUAGUCUGCUUCUGUACCUUCAGAUUCUUCAGCUUUUAUGGUUAUCAAAGCAAUUUUCUGGACAGGGCAAGUGGUACUGUUGUUAAACACACUGUCCUUAAGAGCUUUUCAAAACCAAUUUUCUCUGUUAUCGAAGUCCUGAAUUUGACAGUGCUUUGCAAUACCAACUACGCUCUACCCAUAUUUCUCAGCCCUAUAAAGGAAAGCUUCAUAGCCCAUCACUAUAACUCGUGAUAAUAACAGCUCAGUAGAAAAUACCUGCUUUCCUUCUGGAUACGUAGUGCUUAUUGAUUUUAAAUGCAGUGAUUUUUAAGAGCCAUUAAGGUUGAGAUUCUGUCUUUUCUGUUGGCUUUUAAUGUCAAUAUUUUAUGUCACUGCUAGUGACAUUCAGCUCUGAGUACAGGCAAAUACUUCUGAUAAAGCUGUUUUAAAAUAAAAUUAAAACAAAAUAUGAAUAACCAGAAAGGAAUGCCUUUUUAAUAAAAUGGACUGUUUUUCUUGUGAGUAACAAGAAAGGGAUAACUCUCUGAAUUCUUUUGUGAAAAAUUAUGUGUGAAAGAGAGCUGACUUCUUCUGAUGAAAAAAUUAAAAUUAAAAUUAAAAAAACAAAAACCAAAAGAACUGACAUGCUAUUCUGAGGUGGCUAAGCUGGUUAAAAACUCUUGCUAAUAUUUUCUGAAUAUGGAAAAAGAGUAACAGCAUAAUGGAGAACAACUUUUCCUUUUUAGUGGCAAGACGUAAUGGUGGUAUCUUUAUCUCUUCCAAAUGGAGAUGUACUUGGAUAUAUACACCCACAUCAAGACUGCUGUUCGCAGCAGAAAUGUGUCUCUACAAUAAGAAAACAACUUCCACAUUUUCAAUUUCACUAAAAAUAGGAUCAAAACACUGUCUUCUGCUCAGUUCUCACAGCUUCUUGUAAAAUGGCU
ensembl:lncRNA